rnacentral:RNase_P_RNA from 1 species
GAAGUCCGCCAGGCAGCCGCUGUGGGUGAAAGCCCAUGGAGGAAAGUCCGGGCCCCAUAGAGCAGGAUGCCGGCUAACGGCCGGGCGCAGCAAGCUUCGCCAUUUCGGUGGCGCGGCCCAAGGCGACGGAAAGUGCAACAGAAACAUACCGCCCAAGUCCGCAAGGACCGGCAAGGGUGAAAUCGUGCGGUAAGAGCGCACGGCCGUACUGGCGACAGCUACGGCGGGCAAACCCCAUCCGGGGCAAGGCCAAAUAGGGGAGUCAUGACGUUGCUCGCGUCGCUCCCGGGUAGGCUGCUAGAGGCCGUCGGCAACGGCGGUCCCAGAGGAAUGGCUGCCCACGACAGAACCCGGCUUAUCGGCGGGCUUCCACU